CAUGUCGAAGUCUGACGGAGCACGCCGCGUGAGUGAUGAAGGUUUUCGGAUCGUAAAGCUCUGUUGUUAGGGAAGAACAAGUGCGAGAGUAACUGCUCGCACCUUGACGGUACCUAACCAGAAAGCCACGGCUAACUACGUGCCAGCAGCCGCGGUAAUACGUAGGUGGCAAGCGUUGUCCGGAAUUAUUGCCCCGUAAAGGGCUCGCAGGCGGUUUCUUAAGUCUGAUGUGAAAGCCCCCGGCUCAACCGGGGAGGGUCAUUGGAAACUGGGAAACUUGAGUGCAGAAGAGGAGAGUGGAAUUCCACGUGUAGCGGUGAAAUGCGUAGAGAUGUGGAGGAACACCAGUGGCGAAGGCGACUCUCUGGUCUGUAACUGACGCUGAGGAGCGAAAGCGUGGGGAGCGAACAGGAUUAGAUACCCUGGUAGUCCACGCCUUUUUUCGAUGAGUGCUAAGUGUUAGGGGGUUUCCGCCCCUUAGUGCUGCAGCUCACGCAUUAAGCACUCCGCCUGGGGAGUACGGUCGCAAGACUGAAACUCAAAGGAAUUGACGGGGGCCCCGCACAAGCGGUGGAGCAUGUGGUUUAAUUCGAAGCAACGCGAAGAACCUUACCAGGUCUUGACAUCCUCUGACAAGCCUAGACAUAGGGCUUUCCCUUCGGGGAAAGAGUGACAGGUGGUGCAUGGGUUUCAUCCGCUCUUGUCGCGCGAUUUGGGUUAGUACCGCAACGAGCCGCAACCCUAGAUCUUAGUUGCCAGCUGUUGGUUGGGCCCUCUAAGGUGAAAUGCCGGGGAAAAAGGGGAGGUACGGCGCGACUGACGCCCAAUCAU
rnacentral:rRNA from 1 species